UGCAGCCGCUGGCCGAUGCGACCCAGCCAAUUCGCAGAAGAAGCUGCAGUAGAUUAAAACGUAUCGCGUGUCAGCGGACGCUAUUUAUGUGCUGUGAGCAAAACGUGUAUUCUGUGCUGUUUACAGAUGGAGGGCCUUGAUGGCCGCAUCAGGAAGGCGCAUCGGAGCCCUUCCACCGUGACAGCGCUCUGAUGGAUCUACGGGUGGCGGACGGAGCUUGGAAGACUGGAGAUGAGCAGAAAAGAGGAAGAUGAGCUUAAAUACAAGACUAAAUACGCUACGAUAUGCUCACAAUAUGCUGGCAUCGGUAGCCGAUGUGGUGUUAAGAUGACUUCUGAAAUGGACUUGCUUCCAGUUACAAGUUACCCUGGUGGAAAUUCCCACAGAUGAGCGCCUGGAAAGCACCGCACAGGUCUAGAGAGGAAGCGUGCUUAAUACAAGUCAAAAGAUAGAGGGACGAGUCAGCUUCAUUUCUACCAGGACUGCCUUGCCUUCCAAGAAGUCGUGAGCAUGAAGACGUCUUGCAUGGACAGUAAAUGGUUGGAGGAUUCGCAAAAGCAUACUGAAAAGGUCCAAGGACUGAUCUGCACGACAUUUCUCUUAAGAUGCACUCCUUGCUACAAAAUGCAUUGGUGGAAAGAGCAGAAAAAGGGAGGGCUAAAUCUGAUUGCUCUAAAUGUCAUCACAUCUUCAUAAUGCAAUCUAUAUUCAUGAUGAAGCAGGCCAGACGCCACACUUGUUUUGUCUGGAAUUCAAAGGUUUCAUCCCGAUUUGGACUUGACGUGCACUCCAAGAUAAACAUUUCCAAGCCGGAGUUUGGAAAUACGGUUGCUUACAAGUUAGCCGGAGGAAAACGGGAUAGAAGUGUAACUACGUCAAUUAAAUAAUACUACUAAUUGCAUUUCACGACAUUCCUUUUCUUACUUGGACCAACUGCAUGCACAUGGGACCCUUGAAAGCAUCCGAAUAUUACGUACUUUGGAAUUUAACACAUUUGUCCAUUACACAAAUAAUAAACUGCUAACCAAAGAUGAUGACAUAUAAUUCAGCCUGUCUUGCAGCAGAAUAGCACAUGACCACAGAGACCGAAUCACAAGCGUUGGCUGUUCGUUUGGG